rnacentral:rRNA from 1 species
GAUGAACGCUGGCGGCGUGCCUAAUACAUGCAAGUCGAGCGAACGGACGAGAAGCUUGCGUCGCUGAUGUUAGCGGCGGACGGGUGAGUAACACGUGGAUAACCUACCUAUAAGACUGGGAUAACUUCGGGAAACCGUAUCUAAUACCGGAUAAUAUUUUGAACCGCAUGGUUCGAAGGUGAAAGACGGUCUUGCUGGCACUUAUAGAUGGAUCCGGGCUGGAUUAGCUAGUUGGUAAGGUAACGGGUUACCAAGGGAACGAUGCGUAAACGAGCUGAGAGGGUGAUCGGCCACACUGGAACUGAGACAGGGUCCAGAGGCCUACGGGAGGCACCAGUAGGGAAUCGUCGGCAAUGGGCGAAAGCAUGACGGAGCAACGCCGCGUGAGUGAUGAAGGCCCUCGGAUCGUAAAACUCUGUUAUUAGGGAAGAACAUAUGUGUAAGUAAAUGUGCACAUCUUGACGGUACCGAAUCAGAAAGCCACGGCUAACUACGUG